rnacentral:rRNA from 1 species
CACGUAGGGGGCAAGCGUUGUCCGGAUUUAUUGGGCGUAAAGAGCUCGUAGGCGGCUCAGUAAGUCAGGUGUGAAACCUCCAGGCUCAACCUGGGGACGCCACCUGAUACUGCUGUGGCUAGAGUCCGGUAGGGGAGCGUGGAAUUCCUGGUGUAGCGGUGAAAUGCGCAGAUAUCAGGAGGAACACCAGCGGCGAAGGCGGCGCUCUGGGCCGGAACUGACGCUGAGGAGCGAAAGCGUGGGUAGCAAACAGG